rnacentral:rRNA from 1 species
CGUAGGCGAACCUGCGGAAGGAUCAUUG